GAAGAGGUCACACCCGUUCCCAUACCGAACACGGAAGUUAAGCUCUUCAGCGCCGAUGGUAGUCGGGGGUUUCCCCCUGUGAGAGUAGGACGCCGCCAAGC
rnacentral:rRNA from 1 species